AGCAGCCGCGGUAAUUCCAGCUCCAAUAGCGUAUAUUAAAGUUGUUGCAGUUAAAAAGCUCGUAGUUGAAUUUCGGGAUUGACACAUCGGUCGUGCCUUAAGGGGUAUGAACUGGUGUAGUCAAUUUCUCACCUUCUGGAGAACCGCGAUGCCCUUAAUUGGGUGUCGCGGGGAACCAGGACCUUUACUUUGAAAAAAUUAGAGUGUUUAAAGCAGGCAUUUUGCUUGAACACAUUAGCAUGGAAUAAUAAAAUAGGACGGCAUGAUUCUAUUUUGUUGGUUUCUAGGAUCACCGUAAUGAUUAAUAGGGAUAGUUGGGGGCAUUAGUAUUCAAUUGUCAGAGGUGAAAUUCUUGGAUUUAUUGAAGACUAACUACUGCGAAAGCAUUUGCCAAGGAUGUUUUCAUUAAUCAAGAACGAAAGUUAGGGAUCGAAGACGAUCAGAUACCGUCGUAGUCUUAACCAUAAACUAUGACCGACUAGGAAUCAGACGAUGUUAAUUUUUAAUGUACUUCGUUUGG
rnacentral:rRNA from 1 species